rnacentral:rRNA from 1 species
UCCGGUGAACAUAUCACUGUGGCCACACCUGUUCCCUUCCCGAACACAGUAGUUAAGCACAGUGAGCCGAUGAUAGUGCCAAAAGUGCGAAAGUAGGUAUUGCCGGAU